GAAGUGGGGAUGACGUCAAGUCCUCAUGGCCUUUAUGCCCAGGGCUACACACGUGCUACAAUGGCGGUACAAAGAGAAGCAAACCUCGCGAGGGUGAGCAAACUACUCAAAAAGCCGUUCUCAGUUCGGAUUGAAGUCUGCAACUCGACUUCAUGAAGUCGGAAUCGCUAGUAAUCGCGGAUCAGCAUGCCGCGGUCGAAUACGUUCCCGGGCCUU
rnacentral:rRNA from 1 species